CUUUUGUUAGACACAAAAACGUUUGAUAUUCUAUCUCUCUGAAAACGACAGAGUUCCGGUUUCGGCCAUGCUUUUUUUAUUAGUUCCGGCCGGAACCGGUACUCUAAAAAAUCGAGGUUCCGGCCGGAACUAAUCUGCCGGAACCGAGUUCCGGUGCACCCCUACCAACAAUGGCCUUUAGGGCCGAGAUGUGUCAACUGGACCUUUAGGAAGAAAAGAUAUAUAGACUGAACUAGAUUUACCCAUUUAUAUAUUAAAUCGGUUUAGUGGAUUUACGGUAGUUUAGCCCGCCUUGUUUCUGCUCGAUCUUUCUACAGACUUUUCAGCGGAACACGUACACCAGAGGUGGGCUGGGGUGUCCCUCUCCCCUGGCGAAAUUAUUCCCUCUCUUUGAAAAAUUCAAACUUGUUAAAAGCAUGAGAAAGAUAUUUUAAUUUCUUGUAAUGUAAAUAUUUAUCUUACUGUGUUUUGUUAGUCCUGUACUUGUUGAAGACCACAGUC